rnacentral:rRNA from 1 species
UACAGAGGUCUCAAGCGUUGUUCGGAUUCAUUGGGCGUAAAGGGUGCGUAGGUGGCGGGGUAAGUCUGGUGUGAAAUCCCGGGGCUCAACCCUGGAACUGCACUGGAUACUGCCUUGCUAGAGUACUGGAGAGGGAACUGGAAUUUACGGUGUAGCAGUGAAAUGCGUAGAUAUCGUAAGGAAGACCAGUGGCGAAGGCGAGUUCCUGGACAGUUACUGACACUGAGGCACGAAGGCCAGGGGAGCAAACGGG